AUUACAGGGGUGAGCCACCGUGCCUGUCCUAUGUUAUGUUUUGACACAGGCAUACAAUCUGUAAUAAUCACAUCUGGGUGAAUCAGGUAUCUAUCACCUCUAGCAUUUAUCCUUUGUAUUACAAACAAUCCAAUUGUACACUUCUAGUUAUAUUAAAAUGUACAGUUAAACUGUUAGUGACUACCAGGUCAUUUUAGGUCAUAAUAAAAAUUACAUAGACAUAUACAUAAAUUUAUACAUUUCUGAGUCCUAAAUAUUUUUCAAGUUUUAUUAUAUUUUUCUAUGAACAUGUGCCCUCUCUUCCUGGAAACACAGACUUUUAAUUUUUAUUUACACAAACAUAUAUUACUAUAAAGAUAACUGUUAGGUGAAAGUAAAUUAUGAAGUAAGUGUGUGUGUAAGUAUGAGUUUGUACUUAUUUUCAGAGUAAAAAGCGAUAUUGAAACAAAGCAUUAUUUUAAUAAGCUGACUAAUUUACUAGAAAACUAAAAACUUCAAAAAUGCUGGAAACAAAUCUAUGAUCUCUGCUUUAUGUUGAAUUCAUUACUGUAAAAUAUUAAGGCUUAUGGUUCAGAAUCUCCUCAUGCAAUUUUUUUUUUACUUGCCUGGUACUCAUGCUAGACUUAUAAUUAUCUUGUAUGUUAUAAUUUCUUUGUUAUAUAGUAUAUAAAGUACUCAUUAUAUGAGCUGGUAAGGGAUUAUAUGAAUGAUUUUAAUAAAAUCUAGUAGUGCACACAAAAUAAUUUUUAGAUGUAAUUCCAAAAUUAGUGUAUUAUGUUUUCAGUUAGAAUAUUCCAUUUAAUUGCAGAACCCUAUAUAAGCAUACUAUUCUUGUUUUCUUUUUUCUUUUUCUUUUUUUGUGUGAGACGGAGUUUCACUCUUGUUG
rnacentral:lncRNA from 1 species